GUCUUCUCAAAGCACUUUAUGUAUCUGGUACCUUUGUGGCAGCAUCAUGCUAAUGUCCCUUUGUAAUUACUUGUGCUGGUAUAUAUUAGCAACAAUAUUCUCUACACCCGAGAUGUCCUUCAUCUCCUGUUCAACUAUCACAACUUCAAAAAUCACCUAUUCCCAGAAACCAUCCCUUACUGCUCCUUCUCCCUCCGCCCCACCCCAGUCCUCCAUGGCUCCCAUACUGCUUCUACUGUCUGUGUAGUUAUUGUGUCCAUCUCCUCCAGGGUGUGAACCACUCGAGGACAGAGAACUAGCAUCAUUUACCUCUGAUUCCAGAUGACGGCACAGGGCCUGGGGCAUAGUGAGGUGUUCAGUAACUGUUGAAAGAAAGAAAGAAUGAAUAGCAACAGACAACAAUAAAUAGAAAACAGACUGCACUCGAUCUGUACAGGUGGGUGGAGUUUAUUUGAAUGGAAGAAGAAUGUCCUCUUUUGGUGGGAGAGUUCCGAAGAGUUAUUGCACUUAUAAACUUCUUAAAUUAAAUAUUGAUGUCGACAACUCAAGAACAUCCCUUUUUAAGACUUUUAGGGGUCAAAAUUCACACAAACUUUCCCAGAUGCUAAGGUCUGGACUUUUAAGCAGAGACAGACUGCACGCAUUUUGAGUUUUGCUAAUUUGUGCUCAUUUUUUAAUCUAGCCACAUAGAUUCCUUACCAGAUCUUCUCUGACUGUUGAAACAAGGAUUCUGCCACAGCACUUAUCACAUAUUACUGUGAUUGUCUGACUACAGAAAAAGAAAUUCUAAAAUUUGUAUAGAGCCACAACAAAACCUAAAUAACCAAAGCAAUCCUGAGAAAGAAGAACAAAGCUGGAGGCAUCACGCUUCCUGAUUUAAAACUAUUCUACAAAUCAAAACAUUAUGGUACUGGCAUAAAAAUAGACUCAUAGACCAGUAGAACUGAAUUGACAGCCCAGAAAUAAACCCUGACAUAUAUCAGUCAACUAAUAUUUGACAAGAUAGCCAACAAUACUCGGUGAAAAAUGGAUGGUCUCUUCAAUAAAUGGUGUUGGGAAAACUAGAUAAUCAUGUGCAGCAGAACGAAAUUGAACCUCUGUCAUACACCACUCACAGAAACUAACUUCAAAAUGGGUUAAAAACUUAAACAUAAGAUCUGAAGCCGUAAAUAUCUGAGAUGGAAACAUAGGGAAAAAACUCCUUGACAUGGAUCUUGGCAACGAUUUUUUGGAGAUGACACCAAAG
rnacentral:lncRNA from 1 species